ACUCAAAUGAAUUGACGGGGGCCCGCACAAGCAGCGGAGCAUGUGGUUUAAUUCGACGCGACGCGAAGAACCUUACCUGGGCUUGACAUGUGCCGGACAGGUGUAGAAAUACACUCUCCCUUCGGGGCCGGUUCACAGGUGGUGCAUGGCUGUCGUCAGCUCGUGUCGUGAGAUGUUGGGUUAAGUCCCGCAACGAGCGCAACCCCCGUCGCAUGUUGCCAGCACGUAAUGGUGGGGACUCAUGUGAGACUGCCGGUGACAAACCGGAGGAAGGUGGGGAUGACGUCAAGUCAUCAUGCCCCUUAUGUCCAGGGCUACACACGUGCUACAUUGGCGCAUACAAAGGGCUGCGAUACCGCGAGGUGGAGCGAAUCCCAAAAAGUGCGUCUCGGUUCGGAUUGGAGGCUGAAACUCGCCUCCAUGAAGGCGGAGUUGCUAGUAAUCCCGAAUCAGCAACGUCGGGGUGAAUACGUUCCCGGGCCUUGUACACACCGCCCGU
rnacentral:rRNA from 1 species